GGUCACCAUGCUGUACAGUAGAAAUAACAUAUGUAAUGUAUAAAUAAAUGAUAAAAAAAUCAUCAAAAUACUGUGAGUCCACAAAGUUCUCUAGGGUAAAUGACUUCUACAUGGUUACUGAAUACUCCAGGAUGCUUUAAUUUUGUAAAGAUUUAACCUUGUCUCGUGGUCAAGUUCUGUCCAUCUUUGGCUCAGAGCUACCACCUGCUCUGAAUUACAGAAGACCAUGUGUUUUUAUUACAUUUCAUUUGUUACACUAUUUAUGAUCAUUUCAGUAUAUCCACAACUACAGAUUGAGUAAAGAGAAUGAAGAAUGGAAAAAGCUAUUUUUUAACACAUCCAACAGGGGAAUGACCCUUUCGGUGUUGUUUCUUUGACCAGUGCAAGUUAUAUGAACAUACCUGAGCUCCGGCAGUGAAAGUAGAAUCCUAUAUGGUUGGACUGGACAGAAGACAAAAACCAUGAAUGAAUGCUAGUUGAUUAUGUUAUAUAUAUCAUUAUACUAGUUCACUGCAACAUACUUGAACAUGUUUUUCCUAAAAAACAAAUAUACUCUAUCCUCAAUUUUAUUUUCAUAUACUCCAUCUUCUGACACAACUUUUUAUCAUCUUGGCUCACUCUCCGUACUACUCCAACUGCAACACUUCUUUGGCUACACUGAGACCUAUCAUUCAUUGCUCAAACUACUUUUUCACUCUCUCUCAUAUCCGCUCAUCUUCUUAUAUCACAUCUUAACUCUGCUGGAAUAUUAUAUUCAGCAUUAUACAUGACAAACUACCUGGAUGCAUACCAAUCCCCAUCCACCAUCCUGCUUUCUUCAUUAUGCUUUAAUUGGGGGGGGGACAUUUAAAUCCAACUCUCAGUUUAUUCUGCAUCUGCACAUGCAGAGAGAAUAGAACUGACAGGUUUAUUCACUAACCUCAUUGUGCUUAGGACUAGUGUUUGCAGAGUAUCGCUGCCACCUACCUUGCUUGCCACUCUUCAUUCUUCUACUUGCUGCUUCCUUCUUGUCUCCCCAACAUUCAAGUAAUGGAAUGAUCCAUUCUAUCCUCUGCCCUUAGUUUUGUUUUGAUUUUUUUUUCUACCUACACUCUCCUUUGGCAAUCUUAUGCAUCCUCAUGUAUUUAAAUGAUAUCUAUAGAUAGAUGCUCCAAAGUUAUAUUUGCAACCUCUCUCCCAAACUUCGGGCUUUAAAACAAACUGCCACCUUGACAUCCUAUAGGAGUCAAAAAAUGACAUUUAAUCUCUGCCCCAGAUAUGUUUAUCUCACAUUGCUCUUUAUCUCAGUAAAUGAGAACUCUAUCUUAUCAAUUCAUCGGGUCAAAAAAAAUUAGAAUCAUUUUUCACCAUUCUCUGUCUUACACGCUACAUACAACUUAUCAAAACAUCCAAUUUGCCCUACGCGCAAACUACAUUUAGAAUCUGACUAUUCCUUGCUACUUUGAACACAAUUAGCCUUGUCUAAGCCUUUCUUACAAACAUCAGAGGGGAAGGAAGGAUGAGUUAUGGAAGAAGGAGAAAGAGAAGGAAGGGAAUCGUUAUCUAGGCCCUUGUUUUGAGAUCACAUCAAAGUCAGGAGUGGUAAAUUGUUACAAUGGUUGGUAUGGUUUUAUUAGUGCAGGUGAAAAGCAAGAAGAGAAUGGAAAGAACUAUCUUCUUGCAAUUCAGGGAUCUGGGCCUUGCCUUCAAUUCAGACAUUUUUUUCUGCAUCCUCUCUUCUUAUUUCAUCUGCUCCAACCAUCAUGGACUUCCCACUACACCAAGGACACAAUCAGCGAUCUCUGCUCCCAGGGUCUUGGUCCCAAAGGCGUCUCCCUUCCAGGAAACUACUCUCUUCCAGUCAUUUAAUUGGCAUUCCACCUCACUUUAUUCAGCAAUGUAUCACUUUGCAUUUUUUCCAGACCAAAUAUCUAAUUUUAAACUUCUUUCCUUUUAUCUACUUACCUAUUUUUUAAAGCAACACCUGACAUAAUAUUCUAUAUUUUUGUUUAUUUAUUUGCUUAAGGGACUUUCACUCAAAUAGUUCACUGAGAAAAGGACUUACAAUUCACCACUGCAUCACUGGUGCCCAGAACAACACCUGUCACAUAUUGAGCACCAAACCAAUAUUUAAUAAAACAACAAAAAAAUAAACAAUGAAUCCAUUAUUCACAUCUUUGUUUCAUUUUAAAAAAACCAAAAUAAUCAGGAACUUAGCAUAAACCAGAGGUCUGAAAACUAUAUCCUGAAUGCCACAUUCAGGAUACUUUUUUUUUUGUCUUUUUUUUUCAUCUUUUCUAGGGCCGCACUUGCGGCAUAUGGAGGUUCCCAGGCUAGGGGUCUAAUCAGAGCUACAUCUGCCAGCCCACACCACAGCCACAGCAAUGACAGAUCUGAGCUGCAUCUGCAACCUACACCACAGCUCAUGGCAACACCAGAUCCUUAACCCACUGAGUGAGGCCAGGGAUCAAACCCACAACCUCAUGGUUCCUAGUUGAAUUUGUUAACUACUGUGCCCCGAUGGUAACUCCUUUUUUUUUUUUUUUAAUAAAUAAAGUUCACUGCAACACAUCCAUGUUCAUUCAUUUACCUUUGUCUGUGGCUACCUUUGGACUAUGCCAAGGGGACAUUAUGACCUGCAAAGUGUAAAAUAUUUACCAUCUGGCCCUUUUUAGAAAACAUGUUCCAAGCCUUGGUCUAAACUAUAAAAUACUGGCUUAAUAUCUUUUAUUUCCUUUUUUUUGGCAUCACUGCUUUUCUAUAUUUCUAAUCACUUCAAAGCAAUGCUGAGUCAACAGAAACUUUUAUUAACUUUGAAAGGGGAAAUGGAGAUAACUAUGAAGAACUGAGUGUAGGCCAUGCAACUUCAGAACAAGUAACAUUAUUAUAAGAUGUUUCUAUUUACCAUUUCUUUCUAUGACUUAAUCAGGCAUUUUUUCUGAAGUGAUAGUAAUUUAUAAAGGAAAGCUCUGAGUCUUCUUUCUUCCCAAGGUUGUGAACUACUUAGAACUAUGUUAUUUGAAUGAGAUGAGUUUGUUUAAUUUUCAUUUUUCUUCAGAUAUUUUCUUGCCAAAACCACUGCAUUCCAUACCUACAAAUAAACAUCUCAUGAAGACUCUUUCUUCUUGGAAAAUCUUUGCCUUUUACUGGAUAGAUGGGUAGAAUGCUGAAAUGGAAAGGGAGAGAUUUUCCUGGCAAAAUUCAAUUUUAUUUUAUUGUCAGUUAGCAACUUGAGCUAAUCUUAUGAUAUAAAGACUUCCCAUCAAGGAAUUUAGGUAAGAUACCUAUUUCUUAUUCCCUAGUUAAUCUGUGGUACUGAGGACUUAAAACAAAAAUUAAUCUUUAUCCUACGUGUGUGAUAUAAUUAAAACAAUUCCACAUGAAUCUAGCCUGAAAUAAAUAGUUCAAUCCUCAGGGUCAGAAAAACGUGGGUUAAAACAUUUGUUCAGCUAGUUAACGAUCAGAGACAGAGAAUAUUCCUUGCCUUUUGGAUGGUGGAUAGCAGCCUACACAUAUGUAUAGUGAAGAUUAAGGCCAUUUAACACAUUGUUGGUAUGCAACAAAUAAGAACCCCCUUCUCAGUUAUAUGUAAAACAUUUCAAAUCCUAUCCAUGCACAUUUUCAUGAAUUUUAAGGACAAGUAAUGCAGCAGCAGAUGCUUUCAGUGCCCCACAGAUCGUUGGCACUUACCACUCCCAGGUAUGGUAUUGAUUUCUUAUCACAACUACCUACAAAUCUCUAAUGACUCCUUUCCCUGACUAAAGGAAUUGCUUGGGUUUUGUGUGCAGGUCAGAGCAAAGAUACUGAGAAGCUCUCAUCUACAGGAGCAGUGGUGUGAUCCUGUCAUGUGUAACAGCGUACAAAAUGCUUGUUAUUAAUUUUUUUCGGGAUUUUACAGCCAGGUUCAUAGACACAACGUUAUCAAAAACUAAAUUGUAUAAACUUACAAUUAAAUAAAUUAUAUUAACCACAAGACUAAAAUAUGCUGAAAAACCAUCAUUUCCUAAUAAUUUUAUAUUUUACCAUUAUCUAUGCUUUUGAGACUUUUAAUGUCUUAUUUCUAUUAGUAGUGUGAAGAUUCCAUAUAACAGUGUGCUAGUCAACAACUCCUCCCAACUCCACACUCGGUGACAUCAUGUUGGAGUGUGAAAUUAGCCAUGGUAAGAGUGGUUCCAACACAAAAGACAGACUCUGAAAAUCAGGACUGUUUGUUCAGGGGCUGAUUAUUAAACAUUUACCACUGCCCAACACUUAACCGAAAUCAAAUAGGAAUUAAUGGAUAAAUGUCCAAGUUUUCUACCUCAUUGGUUGGGGAAAAUCAGAGAUGAGCUUUACAUUAUUUCCCAGACACUCCACAGGAUUGAGUUCCAAAUACUCACAGGGAUUAACAAAUACAUUAAUAAAAAAGAGAAAUGACAGUGAUGAAAUCUCAAUUGUGGUUGCCAUUUAUAAAUUAGUCUUGAUAAUAAGAGAUGUUAUUGUGGAACUAGAAUCUCUGGUGUCAUUUGGCGAUGAUAAGACUCCAGCAUAGCAGUGGCCAGUUGUUGGUAAUUAGUCAUCAGAGGCAAGGAGGAAAUAAUUAUCAUAAUAAGCAAUAAGACCAAAAUGGCAACUAGGGAGCCCUGACAUGUAGCAAUCUGUUGUAAAGGGUAUUAGAACAUGAAGUGAUAUAAUUGGGCAUCCAUUAAGGCUGUUGCUUAAUUCAUGUAAUAAAAUGCAGCUGGGCAGAAGGCUGACAAUAAGCCUUUACCCAGUUUCCAGAUGUGAAUCAGAUCUCAGACUCAAUGACAGUGGAUUAAAAGGUGUCUCUUGAACAAUACGAAAUUGUUUUCUUGAAAAAGUAACAUAUAAUUUCAUAGCAUGAAUACGUAAGCUCUAUUUAACCAAUCCUUCCUCAAAAGAAUCUAUGAGCUUUUCAGGAGUAACUAUAUUGGGGAGUUCCCUUUGUGGCUCAGCGGUUAACAAACCUGACUAGGAUCCAUGAGUAUGUAGGUUCAAUCUCUGGCCUCUAUCAGUGGGUUAAGGAUCCGGUAUUGCAGUGAGCUGUAGUGUAAGUCGCAGACUUGGCUCAGAUCUGGUGUUGCUGUGACUGUGGUGUAGGUCAACAGCUGUAGCUCUGAUUCAAUCCCUGGCCUGGGAACACCCAUAUGCCACAGGUGAGGCCCUAUAAAGCAAAAAAAAAAAAAAAA
rnacentral:lncRNA from 1 species